CACUCCUGCGGGAGGCAGCAGUGGGGAAUAUUGGACAAUGGGCGCAAGCCUGAUCCAGCCAUGCCGCGUGAGUGAUGAAGGCCCUAGGGUUGUAAAGCUCUUUCACCGGAGAAGAUAAUGACGGUAUCCGGAGAAGAAGCCCCGGCUAACUUCGUGCCAGCAGCCGCGGUAAUACGAAGGGGGCUAGCGUUGUUCGGAAUUACUGGGCGUAAAGCGCACGUAGGCGGAUCGAUCAGUCAGGGGUGAAAUCCCAGGGCUCAACCCUGGAACUGCCUUUGAUACUGUCGAUCUGGAGUAUGGAAGAGGUGAGUGGAAUUCCGAGUGUAGAGGUGAAAUUCGUAGAUAUUCGGAGGAACACCAGUGGCGAAGGCGGCUCACUGGUCCAUUACUGACGCUGAGGUGCGAAAGCGUGGGGAGCAAACAGGAUUAGAUACCCCAGUAGUCCC
rnacentral:rRNA from 1 species